rnacentral:rRNA from 1 species
UUUGUACGUGGGGUAGGGGAGCGUUCUGUAAGCCGUUGAAGGUGGUCUGUAAGGGCUGCUGGAGGUAUCAGAAGUGCGAAUGCUGACAUGAGUAACGAUAAAGGGGGUGAAAAACCCCCUCGCCGGAAGACCAAGGGUUCCUGUCCAACGUUAAUCGGGGCAGGGUAAGUCGACCCCUAAGGCGAGGCCGAAAGGCGUAGUCGAUGGGAAACGGGUUAAUAUUCCCGUACUUCUUAUAAUUGCGAUGGGGGGACGGAGAAGGCUAGGUGGGCCUGGCGACGGUUGUCCAGGUUCAAGUACGUAGGCGGAAAGUUUAGGUAAAUCCGGACUUUCAUUAACGCUGAGAUACGAUGUCGAGCCACUACGGUGGUGAAGUCAUUGAUGCCAUGCUUCCAGGAAAAGCCUCUAAGCUUCAGAUUAUAAGAAAUCGUACCCCAAACCGACACAGGUGGUCGGGUAGAGAAUACCAAGGCGCUUGAGAGAACUCGGGUGAAGGAACUAGGCAAAAUGGUACCGUAACUUCGGGAGAAGGUACGCUCUUGGCGGUGAAGUCCCUUGCGGAUGGAGCUACUAGGAGUCGCAGAUACCAGGUGGCUGCAACUGUUUAUUAAAAACACAGCACUGUGCAAAAUCGUAAGAUGACGUAUACGGUGUGACGCCUGCCCGGUGCCGGAAGGUUAAUUGAUGGGGUUAGACUUCGGUCGAAGCUCUUGAUCGAAGCCCCGGUAAACGGCGGCCGUAACUAUAACGGUCCUAAGGUAGCGAAAUUCCUUGUCGGGUAAGUUCCGACCUGCACGAAUGGCGUAAUGAUGGCCACGCUGUCUCCACCCGAGACUCAGUGAAAUUGAAAUCGCUGUGAAGAUGCAGUGUACCCGCGGCUAGACGGAAAGACCCCGUGAACCUUUACUACAGCUUGGCACUGAACAUUGAACCUACAUGUGUAGGAUAGGUGGGAGACUUUGAAACUUCGUCGCUAGAUGGAGUGGAGUCAACCUUGAAAUACCACCCUUGUACGUUUGAUGUUCUAACGUUGGCCCCUUAUCGGGGUUGCGGACAGUGCCUGGUGGGUAGUUUGACUGGGGCGGUCUCCUCCCAAAGAGUAACGGAGGAGCACGAAGGUGGGCUAAACACGGUUGGACAUCGUGUGGUUAGUGCAAUGGCAUAAGCCCGCUUGACUGCGAGAAUGACAAUUCGAGCAGGUGCGAAAGCAGGUCAUAGUGAUCCGGUGGUUCUGAAUGGAAGGGCCAUCGCUCAACGGAUAAAAGGUACUCCGGGGAUAACAGGCUGAUACCGCCCAAGAGUUCAUAUCGACGGCGGUGUUUGGCACCUCGAUGUCGGCUCAUCACAUCCUGGGGCUGAAGUCGGUCCCAAGGGUAUGGCUGUUCGCCAUUUAAAGUGGUACGCGAGCUGGGUUUAGAACGUCGUGAGACAGUUCGGUCCCUAUCUGCCGUGGGCGUUGGAAGAUUGAAGGGGGCUGCUCCUAGUACGAGAGGACCGGAGUGGACGAACCUCUGGUGUUCGGGUUGUCACGCCAGUGGCAUUGCCCGGUAGCUAAGUUCGGAAUCGAUAAGCGCUGAAAGCAUCUAAGCGCGAAGCGAGCCCUGAGAUGAGUCUUCCCUGGCACUUUAAGUGCCCUUAAGGGUUGUUCAAGACUAGAACGUUGAUAGGCAGGGUGUGUAAGUGCUGCGAGGCAUUGAGCUAACCUGUACUAAUUGCCCGUGAGGCUUAACCAUACAACACCCAAG